CGAAUCAAGGGAAGCGUGCCGGUGCAGGCAAGAGACCACCGUAAGCGUCGUUGCAACCAAUUAAGCGCCGAGAACACUCAGCGCGACUUCGCUCUCGCUGCCUAAGCGACAGCAAGUCCGUCAGACCGGGAAAGCCCUCGACCCGGACCCUGGCGUCAUCUAGAGGGAUCCACCGAUGAGUUCGGUCGCGGAACUCAUCGGGACACCAACAGCGACUGGGAUCGUCAUCCUGGCUUGUUCGCGUGACCAGGAGAUCCGAGCAGAGGCAUAGCGAACUGCGCACGGAGAAGCCUUGAGGGAAUGCC
rnacentral:misc_RNA from 1 species